rnacentral:rRNA from 1 species
GUCUCAAAGAUAGAUUAAGCCAUGCAUGUCUAAGUAUAAGCAAUUACACGGCGAAACUGCGAAUGGCUCAUUAUAUAAGUUAUCGUUUAUUUGAUAGCACCUUACUACUUGGAUAACCGUGGUAAUUCUAGAGCUAAUACAUGCUAAAAAUCCCGACUUCGGAAGGGAUGUAUUUAUUAGAUUAAAAACCAAUGCCCUCUGGGCUCUCUGGUGAUUCAUGAUAACUUCUCGAAUCGCAUGGCCUUGCGCCGGCGAUGGUUCAUUCAUAUUUCUUCCCUAUCAACUUUCGAUGUUUGGGUAGUGGCCAAACAUGGUUGCAACGGGUAACGGAGGGUUAGGGCUCGACCCCGGAGAAGGAGCCUGAGAAACGGCUACUACAUCCAAGGAAGGCAGCAGGCGCGCAAAUUACCCAAUCCCGACACGGGGAGGUAGUGACAAUAAAUACUGAUACAGGGCUCUUUUGGGUCUUGUAAUUGGAAUGAGUACAAUUUAAAUCCCUUAACGAGGAACAAUUGGAGGGCAAGUCUGGUGCCAGCAGCCGCGGUAAUUCCAGCUCCAAUAGCGUAUAUUAAAGUUGUUGUGGUUAAAAAGCUCGUAGUUGAACCUUGGGCCUGGCUGGCCGGUCCGCCUCACCGCGUGCACUGGUCCGGCCGGGCCUUUCCCUCUGUGGAACCCCAUGCCCUUCACUGGGUGUGGCGGGGAAACAGGACUUUUACUUUGAAAAAAUUAGAGUGCUCCAGGCAGGCCUAUGCUCGAAUACAUUAGCAUGGAAUAAUGAAAUAGGACGUGCGGUUCUAUUUUGUUGGUUUCUAGGACCGCCGUAAUGAUUAAUAGGGACAGUCGGGGGCAUCAGUAUUCAAUUGUCAGAGGUGAAAUUCUUGGAUUUAUUGAAGACUAACUACUGCGAAAGCAUUUGCCAAGGAUGUUUUCAUUAAUCAGGAACGAAAGUUAGGGGAUCGAAGACGAUCAGAUACCGUCGUAGUCUUAACCAUAAACUAUGCCGACUAGGGAUCGGACGAUGUUAUUUUUUGACUCGUUCGGCACCUUACGAGAAAUCAAAGUGCUUGGGCUCCAGGGGGAGUAUGGUCGCAAGGCUGAAACUUAAAGGAAUUGACGGAAGA